GCCAGCGUAGCUCAACCGGUAGAGCACUCCAUCCAUACUGGAGCGGUUUGGCGGUUCGAAUCCGCCCGCUGGUA
rnacentral:tRNA from 1 species